UUCUAUAUAUUAUUAGUAUAAUUGUAUUGUCAUUGUGUCAGAUAUACGUUUCAUAUUUGUGCAUCAUAGAAUCUAGCACAAUACAAAGAGAUUAAGUUCACUUGCUUGAUGUUUAUAUCCUUUUUCAUUUAUCAUAAAUUCAUUUGAAUGCGUAGCUAGUUCGUAUGCUGUAAUGUUAUAACUGCGUUGAAAGUUUAAUUAUUGGCAAAUUUGCUUGUUUUCAGGAAAUGAAAAAGGGGUCCAACCAUGGAUAAAUCUCCGGUACGGGAAGCAUGUGCAUAUUCUUCCCGUGGAUGAUACCAUUGAGGGUGUUACUGGGAACCUCUUUGAUGCCUACUUAAAACG